rnacentral:rRNA from 1 species
CCUACGGGAGGCAGCAGUGGGGAAUUUUGGACAAUGGGCGAAAGCCUGAUCCAGCCAUUCCGCGUGAGUGAAGAAGGCCUUCGGGUUGUAAAGCUCUUUCGCAAGGGAAGAAAACUUAGAUACUAAUAUUAUCUGAGGUUGACGGUACCUUGAUAAGAAGCACCGGCUAACUACGUGCCAGCAGCCGCGGUAAUACGUAGGGUGCGAGCGUUAAUCGGAAUUACUGGGCGUAAAGCGUGCGCAGGCGGUUUUGUAAGUCAGAUGUGAAAUCCCCGAGCUCAACUUGGGAACUGCGUUUGAAACUACAAGACUAGAAUAUGUCAGAGGGGGGUAGAAUUCCACGUGUAGCAGUGAAAUGCGUAGAGAUGUGGAGGAAUACCAAUGGCGAAGGCAGCCCCCUGGGAUAAUAUUGACGCUCAUGCACGAAAGCGUGGGGAGCAAACAGGAUUAGAUACCCUGGUAGUCCACGCCCUAAACGAUGUCUACUAGUUGUUGGUGGAGUAAAAUCCAUGAGUAACGCAGCUAACGCGUGAAGUAGACCGCCUGGGGAGUACGGUCGCAAGAUUAAAACUUAAAGGAAUUGACGGNUGAGACCGNGCGAGACGACGACGAGGAGAGG